rnacentral:lncRNA from 1 species
UUUUCUUGCUCUUUCAUAGGAAGCAUAUUCCUCUCCUUUUGCUGGACUCUGGGUUUCUCUGAAUUAGAAAUCCAACUACUUCUCCUGAAUUUGAAGAAAUGGUCUUGUGUGUGGUUGUCCGCUUGUGUAGGCUGUGUGGGCCCGGCAACUUUGGCUGUCUGCCCAGAGUUGCAGUGGCGUGGGCUGGGUUCCUGGGGCACUCCAUGAUGCGGUUGCCCUUGGUGGGAUGCUGAAGUGAGCAUGGGGUAGGGUGGUCCUGUGGAUCUCCAGAAACUAUGGCAGUAUAGCUAAAGUGGACAUUGGUACAGGCUAUGGCAGUCCUGGGGCUCUCCAGAGGGCACCCUGGAGCUGUCUGGCAGGACAGCUGAAGUUAAAGUGUACACAUCAGGAUGUCCUGGGGUACUCCCCUUAGGUGGUACUUUGGUGGGGAGGUUGGAGCCUAUGUGUACUACAGGCCAGGGGCGUAUGUGUGUGGGUGGCUAGAGCCAAAGUGAGCAGGAGCCUGGAGGUCCUGGUGGCUCUCUGCAUUGGGAGUGCCCUGGCCAGGUGUCUGGAGUGUUCCAGGAUGCGGGGACCUGUCACCUUGGAGAGACAGGUAUUGUAGUGAGCAGCGACUGCAGGUCUCCUGGUAUGCACAUGGAUGGUCUUGGGCUGGUGGGUAUGAGGGGUCAGAGUUCACGGACACACUGAUCACAGUGCCUGCACUCCGCUCCUGUCUGUAGUAUCAAGGUGGAGGGGGGACUGUAAAUGGUAGUGAUCACCCACCUACCCUAGUUCCAAAAGUGCCCUUCUGUUAGGUAGGGUUUCAGUGCUGUGAUUUUUAUAUUCUAGUUGCUCGUUUAAAUGGCAGCUUUUUCCUCUGUGCCCCCAGGCAAACCAAUCUGUGCAGUCUUACAUAAGCAUUCCACCCCACUGCAGCAGUGUCAGGGUUUCCCUUUGUCACGGGCUGGUCCUUCUUAUAAUUUUCCACGUGCAGCUCUCAAGUUAGCGGUCUUCAGGAGAACUUGCUCUAUAAAUAUGUGUAGAUUUGGUUAUGCCUGUGGAGGAGAGUUAAGGGUCUUCCUACUUUGCCAUCUUGGACCCUUUUCCCCCAACCUCCUGAAUUUAAGUAUCAGCUAAAGUCAACUGACAGUUGAGACUUCUCCAUCCAGUAGUCAAACCAGUGCUAGACUCCAUGGCCAAGGAAGCAAAUCUGGUUGUCUUAGUCCUCUGGUCUCUUGUUAUUCAGACUGUGGUCUAGGAAUAAGCAGCAAAGCUGUGACUUAGAGACCAUAUCCAACAAUUUCCUAUGGAAUCAGAAUCCGCAUGUUAAGAUAUCUGAAGUUGUGAGGAAAAUGUGAAAUGAAGCAGAAAUGCAGACUCAUUGUGUCCAGAGUCCUUUUCAUUCCCAAGCUUUUCAUCUGUAUCAUGCUGGCCCAGCUCCUUUUGAUCCUCCCCUCCAUGUAACACUUGCCUCUUGAAAGGGACCAUUGCAGGGCAGUCACCCCACCUCCUUGGGCUCUUGCACACAACAGCCAUUACCGUAACUUUCCCACUGUAUCUUGUCCCAGAGCCUGUUCCAUUUCCUUCUCAUCUUCGAGAGACCAUGUCUUUGUCUCUAUAUUCUCAGUCUGGCACAUCAUUACCUGCCACUCAGCAGGCCUGUGAUAGUUGUUAAACCCCCUAAUUUCA